rnacentral:rRNA from 1 species
AUUGAACGCUGGCGGCAUGCUUUACACAUGCAAGUCGAACGGUAACAGGCCGCAAGGUGCUGACGAGUGGCGAACGGGUGAGUAAUGCAUCGGAACGUGCCCAGUCGUGGGGGAUAACUACUCGAAAGAGUAGCUAAUACCGCAUACGAUCUAUGGAUGAAAGCGGGGGACCGUAAGGCCUCGCGCGAUUGGAGCGGCCGAUGUCAGAUUAGGUAGUUGGUGGGGUAAAGGCUCACCAAGCCAACGAUCUGUAGCCGGUCUGAGAGGACGACCAGCCACACUGGGACUGAGACACGGCCCAGACUCCUACGGGAGGCAGCAGUGGGGAAUUUUGGACAAUGGGCGCAAGCCUGAUCCAGCAAUGCCGCGUGCAGGAAGAGGGCCUUCGGGUUGUAAACUGCUUUUGUACGGAACGAAACGGCUCUGGUUAAUACCCGGGGCUAAUGACGGUACCGUAAGAAUAAGCACCGGCUAACUACGUG